rnacentral:rRNA from 1 species
UACGUAGGGGGCAAGCGUUGUCCGGAAUUAUUGGGCGUAAAGAGCGUGUAGGCGGUCCGGUAAGUCAGCUGUGAAAGUCAAGGGCUCAACCCUUGAAUGCCGGUUGAUACUGUCGGGCUAGAGUCCGGAAGAGGCGAGUGGAAUUCCCGGUGUAGUGGUGAUAUGCGUAGAUAUCGGGAGGAACACCUGUGGCGAAGGCGGCUUUCUGGGCCUUACCUGACGCUGAGACGCGAAAGCGUGGGGAGCGAACCGG